rnacentral:rRNA from 1 species
ACCAGACUCCUACGGGAGGCAGCAGUGGGGAAUAUUGGGCAAUGGGCGCAAGCCUGACCCAGCAACGCCGCGUGAAGGAAGAAGGCUUUCGGGUUGUAAACUUCUUUUCUCAGGGACGAAGCAAGUGACGGUACCUGAGGAAUAAGCCACGGCUAACUACGUGCCAGCAGCCGCGGUAAUACGUAGGGGGCGAGCGUUAUCCGGAUUCACUGGGUGUAAAGGGAGCGUAGACGGCCAUGCAAGCCAGGGGUGAAAGCCCGGGGCCCAACCCCGGGACUGCCCUUGGAACUGCAUGGCUGGAGUGCGGGAGGGGCAGGCGGAAUUCCUGGUGUAGCGGUGAAAUGCGUAGAUAUCAGGAGGAACACCGGCGGCGAAGGCGGCCUGCUGGACAGUAACUGACGUUGAGGCGCGAAAGCGUGGGGAGCAAACAGGAUUAGAUACCCUAGUA